AUAUGAACUUAUGGACUUAAAACUAGGCAACAUUCCCUGUGCAAAAAGGACUUGGCAAAUGCCAUAAGGAGUGUGUAUUGACAUGUAUACAUCCUUCUAUUUUUUUCAUUCAUUUUUUUUUAUUUUCUUUUUCUAUUUUUAUUUUCUUUUUCUACCAACUUCUGAAAUAUUACAAACAUAAUUAUUUAACCCCACACAACUUCAAACAAGACUCUUUCAACCCUUUGAAUAGGGUGAUAUAACAUUAUUUUUCACUUCUCGGUUUGUAAUGAGUUUUAAACA
rnacentral:lncRNA from 1 species